rnacentral:lncRNA from 1 species
UUCCAUUUUGAACGCUAACACCCGAAAAUAAUAAUACUGACAAUAAGAUACUAAGUAUCUGAAGCUACUAGAGCUGACAUUUGUACUUAUCCAUACUGAGAAAUCGGAUAACUGAUAUUACUGAUAUUUGAUAUUCAAAUUCACCAACUCUGGAACACUGAACAACUGAAUCUGAGAUCAACCCUCAUCUAGCAGGAAAUCUCUAGAACACUGAACAACUGAAUCUGAG